AAAACGUUGUUUCUGACCAAUAUAUUAUACACAAAGACUCCGAUACGCAUUAUUCGAAUGCAUAAAUCAUUAUUUUUAAAUGUUAUUAAUUGGAGCUGUAGAGAAUGAAAAUUGUCUCGAACUAUAAAUAUGACUUAGACCGAUAAAAAUCCGAUUUUAAUUUUCGUUUAUCAAAGAUCAAACGUUGUUGUAUCAAAAAUAUCUACUCAGAAAAAGUGGCGUCCCUGUCGGCACAUUUAAUUAUGCACUGCGAAUAGCCUAGCCUUAUCCUUAAUGGUUCGUCUUCAACAAUCUUCCGCAGGAAUUAUAACCGAAGUUUCGGGCUAGAGUGCUUGAAAAAUUAACCAAUGAAAUAAAAUUACUUCAACUAAAAUUCAAAGAAAAAUUCUGAGAAAAUUGUUUGGAGCGGUAAAUAUACGCCGAUACCAAUGAGUUAGACCGAACCAAAAACUAUUGAGUCGUUACAUCAGAAACAGAACACCGUAUAGAAGUCAUCAGAAGGAAUUGUAUUUGACAGGGCACGCCUUGAGAAGCCGAAACCCAUUAAUUUCUAUAGAGAAACUGUGAACGAACCGGAAACGAAAAAACUGAAAUCCGAGAAUGCGGCUGCAGUCAAAAUGUAUGUAAGAAAACUAGAAGAAAAAUUAUAUUGAAAUGCCCAUAGGCGAGCCAAAGGGAACACUAGGGGGUGCUUAGUACUCCCUAGCUUCAAAUCAGCACUCCUAGAUUUCCUGAGUAAUUUAUUUCAGUAUCUCACCAAUAAUUUGUAAUUGAUUGUGGUUUAUUGGAUUGGAUACAAUAUUUAUUUUUUCCCAUUACACGUUCAUGAAUUCACGAUUAAAACAGUAUUGUGUAAAUGCUCGUUUCAGUUUUCGUCUAAAUGUUAAACAGCAAUCAUACAGGAAAUCGUAUUAUCUUACUUUGCUUUUACAUCUUAAACGGUCAGCUAUGAAACUAUGUUCUAUUUAAAACUGAUA